UUCCAGGUAUGUGGAGAUUUAAGUGUAAGACAAAGCUCCUGGAAAUGGCAGUAAUUCAAAUUCCUGGAUCAGUAACCUGUGCCCUAGAUGUGGACCACACAUGUCCGGGUGAGGCAACAUGAAAGAAAGAUCCACAGGAAUUGUGGGCUAUAUGUUGAUAUGAGAGCAGCAUGUUAAAGCCAUUUUGCAAAUUAUAUUCUGUGUUUAUGUUGUGUUUAUAGAGCCAUCUCUGUCUGAAUAAACCCAUGUUGGACAUCUUUUGUUAAUGUUAUCCAGUGGCACAGCUACAACGGCAAAUAUAACAGCUGGCAUCCACUGAUUUCAACAUCAGACCUCAAGUGGCCACCCUGUAUUAUUGUUUUGUUCCAUGGGGACAAUUUCAGGAGUCUUUUAGCUGCUCAUUAGAGCGUUCUGAGCUUCCAUCCCAUUGACUCCUCUGUGAGCCUGACUCGGAUGAAGGGUAAUUUGGGAUUGUUUUUGGAAUCAUCUCGAAAAAUGUCUUCUGCUAUCCUGCACUGCAAUUUGCAUGAAUUACUGACUCCUUUGCUUUCAGCUCACGUCAUCUUCCGCUCAUUCAUAGAGGCGGAUAUACUUCAGGAGUAAAGAUGCCAACGCCAGGCUCCACAAUGAAUUCAGAGGAAUUUCAUUCUUAGAAGCAUGCAUUCGAAUUUUCAGCCACAGGGUUGUUUUUGCUGAAAUAAAAUGUUAAAUAUUUAGCAUGUUUCUCUCUUGUAAAAUACAUUCAUUUAUUUCUGUCUGGCAAAAGAAUAUUUCACUACUUAGCAACACAAAUUUAAUGACCUUUGUGACCUAGUUGUUUUUUUGUUUUUGUUUUAAGUGAGUCGAAACUUAAGGCCAUACAAUGCUCAUUUUCAAAAGAGAAACAAAAGCAGUAUUAGCAUAUAAUUAUCAUGCUUGUAGCCAGUCUCUCUGCCAUGCUUUUUGAGACAAAGCUUUGCACUUUGGCACAUUUGUGUAGAGUUCACAUUAUAUAAAUCCAUUUACAUUAGUUGCACCCACGCAAAAAAACAUAAGUUUGUAAAAUUGUAAAGGUUUUAGCACUAAAUAAAUAAAGGUGAUCAGGUAUUUGCUAUGCCUUCCAUUACUAGUUUUAACAAAACUUAAAACUUUAUAAAUGUACAGAAUAACUAGAGCACUAGUCAUUGGUAAAAUAAGUUAAGCAAUGAAUUAAUUUCAAGAUAUUGUAAAUGUCUUCAAAAUAUAUAUUUACACACAAACUGUACAAGCAUGGAUGGUGGAGCUACGAAGUCCAAAGGAAAACCCUUGAGAGCCUUUGGGGUCAGUUUUUUUUCUUUUGCAGAUUUUGUUUGUCAUAAUGUACAAUAUGAGGCCAGUGAGAUCUUGCAAAAAAGCUACAUCGUAUAACUGAUAUUGUUAAUCAUACUCAUUGACAAGCAAAAAUGAAAUGGUAGGAUACAAUAGGGCUGAAGGUGCAUUUAAUUUUAUUUUCUUAAACAUCCAUAUUUCACUAUGAAUGUGUAAAUUUUGCUGAUUAGUGCAGCAAUACGAUUCUGUGCAAAGUUAACCUAAUAUUACUAUUACCAUUACUAUUUACUACUAUUACAUCAUUUUUUUUUUUUGUAGUAGAAAGGGAAUCAAUAAAAUCACCAAAUAUAUUUUGCGACAAAGGUCUUGUUAAUGUUCUCCUGGUUUUUCAAUAAGUGUGUGUUUGGAUUCACCUUCUGUGGAUUUAUUGAACACUACCUCUAUCUUCAUUGUGAUGUUUGUGUGUGUUUAUCAACUCAGUAGUGUGACAGAAGACCUGACCUAUAAAGUGAAUUAAGUGGUGUGAUUUACCCAGUUUAUUUUUCAUUUUGUCAGUGUUUGUUGUUUGUUUUUAGUCUAUGGAUCACUUUGCUGCUAUCCACCUGCUCUACCUUGAGUAGGCAAACCACUCUCUUGAGGAGCAUGUUAAAGAAUUCCUCAGUCUCGCCAAUCAGACCACCUUCCUGGAUGACUGCCUGUGCACGUUCCUGCAUGCCAGACUGAACACCACCACUUGAGCAGAGUUGUCCAGAAAGGGUUCUCGAGGGAGUUUUGUCGACUAUGUGGAGUGAGUAGUGGUUUCCUCCAAUGUUGAAGACGUCUCCAGGACCACUUCAGACCCAGGACCCAGCCAGUCACUACCCUUCUGCACAAAGUGUCUGCCUGAGCCCACCACAGAUGGAGAGCCAGAGCCCACCAUGAUGAAAGAGCCAUUGCAAGAAAGCCCGUCCUCUGGCCCCUGGAUCCCUACCUACAUCUCAGGCGGUCAUUGCCAGGAUUGUGUUUGUUGUCUUCCUCCCGAACCUCCUCCUGCAUCUCUCUGGCAUGCAUGCCUGUUACGUGCGUCUCACGUACGCCCCGGCCCAGAGUCCUCAACUAAUUAGUAGUGCUCAUUUCUUAAUUCUUUUGUCUCCAGAUUCUGAUUGGUCGAGCUGGGGAAACAAGGCUAUAAAAUGGAUGGAGGCGGACCCUUUCAAAAGACUCGCUGCCAGCCACAGACUUCACCAUACCACAUCGUCUCCUGCUCCUAUUUUGUUGUUAUUUUGGAGUAGGGAGCCCCAGCCUGUUUCUUUUAGUUUAGUUAUUUCUUUAUUAUGUGGCUGGGCUCCCUAUCUCAUGAUUUUGGUUACUUUUGUGAGUAUUUUGUGUUAAAAUAAAUGAUUAUUUUGGGAUACUCCAGCCGUGUCCAUCUAUUAUGUUAUGCGUCCCUUUAAACUCCUAGACCUUUGUAGGGACCGUAACAUAAUUGGGGGCUCGUCACAACUAUUUUUAAUUAACGGAGUUAACGUUUUUUUUCCAACAAAAUUAUAUGGUCGGAAAAUUGUUUUGGAUGUGGUUUAAUUCGAUUUGCUACAAUUUAAUUGCAAGCCGCUUCACUUCAUGCUAUAUUGUACCAAAAAGCUGUAGGCUAGUUCAAGUCAUUCUUUACAUUGAAUAUAGUCAAAACGUUUUUUUAUUGCGCUUAAAGGGAUUUUUGGUGUACCUUUUCGUCACUUUCUUUGUUCCCAGUUCGCGCCAAGCUUUUUGAACUAUUUAUGAAUGAGUAACCGUAAUGACGUCAUUGCUCGAGGGGUUUUCCAGUCAUUGGGAAUUCCGUGCGGCGCAUUAUAAGCAGAAGCGUGCGUGUUUUGAUGGACAAGUUUAUUUGUUGUGUUUAGGAGUAUUCUUCAUUUUUGAGACCCUUUACUUGGUAUUGUCGCGGGAAAUGCAGAUUCUGAUUGGUCGAGCUGGGGAAACAAGGCUAUAAAAUGGAUGGAGGCGGACCCUUUCAAAAGACUCGCUGCCAGCCACAGACUUCACCAUACCACAUCGUCUCCUGCUCCUAUUUUGUUGUUAUUUUGGAGUAGGGAGCCCCAGCCUGUUUCUUUUAGUUUAGUUAUUUCUUUAUUAUGUGGCUGGGCUCCCUAUCUCAUGAUUUUGGUUACUUUUGUGAGUAUUUUGUGUUAAAAUAAAUGAUUAUUUUGGGAUA